GAUAUUUAACUUUAAUCAAUUGAACCAAUAAUGUUGCUUAUCCUCUUUGCCUCCUCUUCCCCAGCUCAGGAUCUAUUUCAGGAUCAUGCAAUGCAUUCUGUUGUCAUGUCUCUUUACUUUCUUUACUCUGGAACAGUUCCUUGGCCUUUCUUGACUUUGACAUUUUUGAAGAGUAUGGACCAGUUAUUUUGUAAAAUAUGCCUCAGUUUGGAUUGAGAUGCAGUUUAUUCAUGUUUAGAUUCAGGAAAAGCUAUUGAUUUCCAUAUGUUGAAUUUUUAAAAAAUAAAUGCUGUUUAUUUGGUAGACAUUUGCUUUCUAAAAAUGGCGUCCAAAACCCCCCAUAAAAUCAACAAAGGAUUUCUUGGUUGUAACAAGGUUGAUGCCUCUCAAUAGAGUGUAGUCUCCUCAUUUUUUGGGUCUGAUAUUCUGGAAAAAGACUAUCAGGGGGAAUGAAUAUAUUGAUUUUCAUAAUGUGCUACUAACUACAUUAUUCUAUUAUCUGUGGUAAGUUUUUUUCUAAAUUCCCUUGGGUUUUCUACAUAUAGAAUCAGACCAUCUGCAUAUAGAGGUUGUCUUACCUCUUCCUUUCCAAUUCUCAUGUCUCUGUUUGUUGUCAGAAAUCUAUAGGGGUAUUUGGAUUUUGGCCUCUAGUUAAUGCUUAAUUAUUUUCUGAUGGGCUCUGACUGCUGAUUUACUGCUUGAGAGGGACUGAAUAUUUCCAGGAGAAAUUUGCUUUUCCUAUAGGGUGUAUAUAGGCAGGCAGUGGUGGUGGCUGGUAAGAUGGUGAACACUGUGCUUAUCCAAAUCCCCAAAUAAAACAGAAUUCAAUGGGAGAAGAGUAGGAUUAUUUGCUACAAAGCACGGAGAUGUGUUCUGUAAUCAUGGAAACAUUCAGUGAGGGCGCACUGUGUGCUACAGCUUGUGCUAGGCAGUAGAUUACCAUUUGGGGGAAAAUUCAUUUAUACUCCAUUUCAUAUCAGAGGUGAAUUAUUCCGGAUGUAGUAAAUGGCCAAAUAUAUAAGAAUUCAAUCAAACACAAACAUAUAAGCAAAAAACAUAAAAUUUCUGGUGUUUAGGGGAAAGCAAGGAAGGUUACAAAUGAUUGCAGGAAUCACAAGAACAAAGACUGGCAGAUUUUACCACAUAAAAAUUAAAAUUGUUUUUGCAUAACCAAAAUGGAAAGGCAAACUAUCAGAUAGGGUAAGAAUAAAGAGUUAAUAUUUAUUUGGAAGAAAUACACAUUAGAGCCUUAAUGAGGUAUAGUAUUUUGCUUAUUAACGCUAAUGUGUGUGUGUGUGUGUGUGUGUGUGUGAAAGACAGAGAGAGAAAGAGGGAGAAAUGUUACUUAUAAAUGUAAAACUACAUGGCUAUACUGAAAACCAAAAGGAAAAGUUCAAAGGAGCAAGAAUGAGAAAGAACCUUGAGUGGUCAGGAAGGGAUGAAGCCAUUUGGCCAAUGAAAGCUGGUACAAGGGCUGGGGUGUGAAAGCCUGCAGAGAAGCAGGAGUUGAGCUUGCCUCAGGCUUGGUGGGGAGGUACCCACUGUCAGACCACAUUGCCACAUAGUUCAAACCAGUGGUUCUCAAAGUGUGGUCCCUGAAGCAGUGGCAUCUGCAUGGCCCAGAAAUUUUUUACAAAUGCAAAUUCUUGGGUCACAUCCCAGACCUACCGAAUCAGAAACUCUGGGGAUGGAGUCCAGCAAUCUGUUUUUUAAUGAGGUGAUUUCAUUGCAUGCUAGAGUUUGAGAACUGCCAACUUAAACUUAGCUCAGAGAGGAGAUUUUAAUAAUUACUAUUAAUUUCAUGAAUUUAUUCAACAAGUAUUUAUUGAGUGCCUGUUGUGUGCCAGGCAUUGUUCUAGGCUCUAGGGAUACAGAGGGGAACAAGACCAUUAAAGUCCUCAUUUUAGUAGUAUAUCAUAAGCUUUUAGCAUCUUCUUCCAGUAGUUCCCAUGUGUCUUGUAUUAUUUAAUUAUUAAAUAUCUGUCCAGUUGGUCAAGGCCUAUAUCCUGAGCAUUCUCCUUUUCUUCUCACAUGCCACCCCAGGAAAUCUUGUUGCCUCUUCCCUCAAAAUACAUCCAGAACUUGUCCUCUUUUAUCACCUCCACCGCCCUGACCUUGGCCCAAGCCUCUAUUAUCCACAAUAAUUGAGAUGCUCUCAAGCUGGGCCAGUGGCCAACUGCAGAACGGAGAGUGGCCGAGCAGGGAAGGUCAUAGAAGGCACAGGAUGGGGAAGGACACUGGAGACCAGGUUCCUGUAGGGUAAGUUGUAAUCACUGGAACCACUGAGCCUGGAGAAGGUGAGAUCUUUCCGAAGGGAACGGAAAGUGGAGUCAGUUGGAUCUGGGAUAUCUGGGUCUUCCCGGCCACGUGGCCUUGGGCAAGUCAUGUGAGUUCUCUGGGCAUGUAAAAUGAAGAUGAAAAUAUGCAUUUUGCAAGGCUAUCAUAAAUAUUAGUAGUAAUAAUAACAGGCAGAUACUGAGUGCUUAUCAUAUCUUAGAUACUAUUCCAGGUGCUAAGUCUGUACUAACUCAUCUAAACCUCACAACAUCCCCGAGUCCGAUGUCAUCCCUAUCCCCAUUUUACUGAUGAGAAAAUGUAGGUAAAAAGAGGUUCAAUAACUUGCUCAAGGUCAUAUGGCUACAACAUGUUAGAACCAGACUUGGCACUUAGGCCUCUGGCCCCAGAACCUAUAUAUUUAACCUCUCUGCAGGCCAUAUUAAUGUCCUGUGGCUAUUGUAACAAAUUACCACAAGCUUCGUGGCUUAAAACAACACAGAUUUAUAAGCUUACAAUUCUGGAGAUUAGAAGUCCUAAAUCUAAGGUGCUAGCAGGGCUGCAUUCCUUUUGGAGACUCCAGGGAGAAUCUGUUUCCUUGUCUUUUCCAGCUUCCAGAGACCACCUGCAUUUGUUGGUUGAUAGCCUCUUCCUCGAAUCACCCUGAUCCUCUGCUUCUGUGGCCACAUUUUCAUCUCUCCAAAUCUGAGUCUUCUGCCUGUCUCCUCUAGGGACCCUUGAGAUGACUUUGGGCCCAUCCAGAUCAUCCAAGAUAAUCUCCCCUUCUCAAGUUUCUUAAUCACUUCGGCAAGGUCUUUUUUGCCACAUAAAGUAAUAUUUGCACUGGGUUCAGGAAUCAGGAUGUGGGCAUCUUUGUGGGGGGAGUCACUAUUCCACCUACCACACAGAGCCCCUUCAACAAGUGAGAUUAGAUGAGAAAAUGUUGGUGAAGCACUGAGCCCAGAGAUAGAGCAUAGUAGGUGUGGAUGCUGGUGAUAGUGAAGGGGUGAAUGGCUGACAAAGACCAGGUGACUAAUUUCACAGCUGCCAGAAAUCAGCCUCCAGGGACACACAAGGAGCUUUGCCACACGCUGAAUCAGAUAAGGCCUCUGACUUUGUUUUGCCCCAGAAGCAGACCUCAAGAAGAGGACUCCAGUGCAAGUAGUUUAUUUAGAAGGCAAGCCCACAAAAAGUGGGAAAGCGAGACAGGCAAGGCAAGGCAAGGAAACCAAUGGAGAAUGCCAUGAAGCUAGUUACCACCAUAGGCAGGUGGAGCUUAAUCCCACUGGGGAAUUGUGGAAAACAGUGUGGAGCUCUGCACCUCAGAGUUAACCUACCUGAGAGGUGACAGGGCUGGGGUAUGGAUGCACCAAUUCCCUUCAGUCUGUUGCAAGUUGUUCCAGGGAGGGGGAGAGUGGAGUUAAUUCACCUACACACCCAUCUGCACACACAUAUAUAAAGCAGGCUCUGCUAUUUACAAUAGCAAAGACUUGGAACCAACCCAAAUGCCCAUCAAUGAUAGACUGGAUAAAGAAAAGGUGGCACAUAUACACCAUGGAAUACUAUGCAGCCAUAAAAAAGAAUGAGUUCAUGUCCUUUGCGGGGACAUGAAUGAAGUUGGAAAUCAUCAUCCUCAGCAAACUAACACAGGAACAUAAAACCAAACACUGCAUGUUCUCACUCAUAAGUGGGAGCUGAACAAUGAUAACACAUGGACAUAGGGAGGGGAAUAUCACACACUGAAGCCUGUCAGGGGGUGGGAGGAAAGGGAAGGGAGAGCAUUAGGACAAAUACCUAAUGCAUGCAGGCCUUAAAACCUAGAUGAUUGGUUGAAAGGUGCAGCAAACCACCAUGGCACAUGUAUACCUAUGUAACAAACCUGCACAUUCAGCACAUGUAUCCCAGAACUUAAAGUAAAAUAAAAUAAGUAAUGAUAGAAAAAAAAUUAAAAAGUAAAGCAGGCUCUGAUGGCCAGAGAAUGCCUACCUGCAAAUAUCCAUAGGUGCUGGCAACUGGAAGUCUGGCUGCGUGCACUGAAAUGGCAAAGAUAGGGGUGCUGCGGCCAGGUACUGGUGGUGUCUGCUACCCCACCUUGAGCCUAUAGUCUUCAUUUCUUGUGGACACUAUCCACAGGCCAAGAUAAUGCAGAAAGAUGAGAAAAUCAAGGAGUCAGCGUCUGCCCAAAGUGAAGGUAAGAGGAUGGCUUGGAAUUCACAGCUGGCAACUGAAGCUGUUGAAAGACAUCACCUUAAUGUUGCUCUCCAGGGCUUGCAGCCCUCUUAGGACAGGUGCUGUCUGCAGGGCGGCCUUGCGGUGACAGUGGUCGCCCCGCUGAAUCCCCAAUGCUGUCUUAUAUUGCCACUUUCCUGGGAGGCUGUCAUCCAUCUCUGAUUUAGACUACCCCGAGGUCUUACGGUUAAGCUGUUGAGUAGGUUUUGUCAUUCUGUAUUAUUUUCCUUUGUACUUUUUGUUCAGGAAGGUUCCUGGCUGUCUUUGGUGUAGUUUGUAUCAUAUCUUCCAAUAAAAUAAACACAUCUCUCUAUAACCUGCCAUCCAUGCAUCGUCACCCCUCUUCCUUUCCUCACCCCGGUGCAAUCUGGCUUUUCCCCUGCCUCUCUGGGGAAAUGGCUCUCCCUAAGGUCACCAAUGGAUUCCAAAUUCCCAAACCUAAUGGAAUGUCUUAGUCAAGCUCCAGUCAGCUUUUGAUGCUGUCAAAUGCUGCAGUGCUGGCUGGUGUUUCCCCCCAUUCUCCCUCCUUGAGGCUCUGUAUUUCCUGGGUUUCCAUGCAUGACACUUCACUGGUUUGCUGGCUGCUAGACUAUUUCUGUCCCCUUCACUGAGUUAUCUUCCUUUGGUUGUCACUUAAUGUCAGUUCCCAUGGGGUUUCAGCAUUGUCUCUCUUCUCUUCUCCCACUUCGCACUCUCCUGGGGUGAUCUCAGCCAAAUCCACAGAUUCAGUGGCUAUUCACCUACAAUGCCCAGAUCCCCAGCUGUCCCCCAAGCCACCCUCCUGACACCUAGAUCCAAAUGGUCCUCCCCCCCUCGCAGGUCAGUUCCACAUAAAUGUCACAUUCAACAGGCUCAAAUCUGACCUCAUCUUCCUGGGAAAACCAGCUCUUCCUCCCGCAUGGCCCAUCUGGGUGAAUGGUACCCUCCCAUCCCCAUCGUUGUCAAGCCAUAUUGGGGCCUCAUCCUAAGUCCUACCUCUCCUUCAUCUGCCACAUCAAGUCCCUUAUCAGUCAUAUCUUUGUUAUUUCCCCUUAACCAGCUCCCACCUGUCCUCUGCUGCCCAGGUCUCUCAUCUGUGGUUCAGGCCUCCACUGGCCAGGGCAAGAGUUUCCCAGCGUGUUCUUCUGUAGCUGGGAUCAGCCAGGAUCAUCUAAUCACAAUCCUGUCAUUUUACAGGGCCAGAAAUUUGCCUGCUGAGGGGAAGGUGCAGGCUGGGUACCCAGGCCUCCUGGCCCAUGAUGAAAUGGAGGUUGAAGCCAGACAGGCCUGCGCGCAAAGCCUCCCUCCCCUCUGUGCCAACCUGUGUUAGUUUCCAGUUGUUGCUAUAACAAAUUACCACCAACUGGCCUAACACAACACACAUUUAUUAUCUUACAGCUCUGGAGCUCAAAAGUCCAAAAUGGGUCUUACAGGAUUAAAAUCAAGCUGCCAGUGGGGCUGGUUCCUUGACGGGGCUCGAGGAGGAAACAUGCUUUCUUGCCUUUUCCAGCUCCUAGAGGCUGCCUGCAUUCCUUGGCUGGUGGCCCCUCCCACUCCAGUAUCACCCCAACCUCUGCUUCCAUUGUCGUGUCUGUUUCUCUGACUCUGGCCCUCCUGCCUUGCUCUUGAAAGGAUCCUUGGAUUACAUUGGGCCCACCCAAACAAUCCAUGAAAACCUCCUCAUCUGAGGAUCCUUAACUCAGUCACCCCUGCAAAGUCCCUUUUUAAAUAAGUUUUUGGGAUUAGAAUGUGGACAUUUUAGGGGGAUCAUUAUUCAGCCUACCCUCCUAGCUGUGCCCCCUAAGAAAGUUGCUUAACCUCUCUGAGGUUCUGGUCUCUCAUCUAUAGAAUGGGAGUAAUUUUUUCCACCCACAGAGAUAGAGUGAGGAACAAAGAAGAGAAUACAUCUCAUGUCCCAGCCUCUUCCUCCCAGUCCUCAUUGGUGCUAGCUAGGAUAGGAUCAGGAUCCAGCUAUCCUCCCUACAACUUCCAAGUUUCAGGAAUCUUCUCUAAAACUUCAACUGUCAUUUGUCAUAGGAAAGAGAUGCCAUGCUAGUCUGAAUCUACUGGGACAGCUCUGUAUCUGAGGCCUGGGUGCAAGGCAACUUGGCUGCUGAAUUAGGGAAGAGAUAAAAGAAGAAUAAGAAUGGCGUGUGGGAGGAUUACUCUUCCUGGCCCUGUUUAAGUGAGGUCUGGCCAAGUGAUUUGUCUUCACAAAUGAAAGAAAAGUAAAAAGAACAUGUCACUUCCAGGCAGAAUGUCUGAAAGCCAGUGGACAGUCUGCCUUGAUCCAUUGUCCUGCCUCAGAGGUCAUGGAAAUAUAUGUCAAGACUCAGUCGCUGUCAGCCUGGAUUCCCCAGUGACUACAACACUGCCAACCUCCCUGGGCAUGUAGGGGGAGAGAAAAAUAAGCUUCCAUUGUAUGAAGCUAAGAGAUCCGGAGGGUUAUUUCUUCCUGUAGCACACUCUGACUAAUAGAGUAGCUAGCAGCUAGGAGGUUUUUAAAUAUCUUUAUUUAGCAAAAUGAAAUGGUGCCAAUCUUACGUUGAUAUGAUUUUUUUUUCUUUUGAUAUUUAAUUGCCCCGGGAAGUAUGAUGCCUUGGACAUUCUGACACUGAUAACUGGAGUGUGGGGAGGUGUCCGGUUUAACACGGGUAAUAGUUCUCAGGACAGGGGCCACAAUAUGGGACCCCUCAGCCCCAAUUCAACCAGAGUCACACCUGUUUUAUCUGCAUAAUGAAUAAAUGAACAAGCAUACUGGGGUCUGCACAAGAUUUCACAUCAGGAAAGGGUUUUAUAGCUGAAAAAGAAAAAGUUAAAAGUUGUGCAGCAAAGACUAUGCUAAGCCCUGGGAAUGUGGUAAAGAAUGAGACAGACACAGGCUGCAUAUUGGCUAUGACUUUCAGCUUUGCGGGGCAUGGAGAGGCCGAAAGGGCAGACAAAAGACAAGUCAACUAAUUAAUUAAAUAACUGAAAGUAGAAACACUCUAUGUAGGUAAGAUAUGGGGACUGAAGUAGAGAUUAACAGGAGGUGGCAGGCUGGUAAGAUCUCUUGUCAGAAGGUAGUAUUUUAGUUGCAACCUGGAGGAUGGAAGGGCUACCAGGCAAAAAGGUGUGUAACCUGUUCAAGAGGCUGAAGGCUUGCAUAGCAGGAGGCAGGGCUGAGAAGGAGAGAAGCAGGAAAUAAGUUGGAGGGUCCACAGGAACCUAAUAAGCAGGCCCUCACAAGCCACAAGGAGGUAAGCAAAAGAGAGCAGCAGUGGAUGACGCUGCCUUGCCCAUGUCUACUUAAUAAACACUCAGACUUGAUGCCUUCAAAGCAGAAAUCCUGAUGUCCACUCUCUUGCUCUCCCCGUCUGCCUCUCCUCCUACCUUUCCCAUCUCAUAAAUGGCAGUUUCAUUUUUCAAGUGACUCAGGCCCCAAACCUUGAGAUCCCUUUUGCCUCCAUGCCUAAUCCAUCAGGGAAUCCUACUGGCUCUGCCUCCCAAAUGUACCCUGAAUUGGACCACCUUUCACCACCUCAGGGCUAUUAUCCUUGUCCAAGAUGCUAGCAUCUCUUAUCUGGACUUUUGGAGUAGCCUCUUCACUGGCCAUGCUGCUUCCACUCUUUAUCCUGAAUCCUUUGCUCUACACAACAGUCAAAGAGAUCUCUCAAAACACAUAGUCAGACCAUUGUCUACUCCAAACCUAUGACGGCUUUACACCCCACUCACCAUAAAACCAAGGUCGGUACCUGGGCCUUCAAGUCCUCCAUGGUCUGGCCCUUGGGCAGCUUUCUUAUCUCAUCUUUGUUUCUCCUCCCCUUGCUCACUCAGCUGCAACCCUGUGUACCUUCUUGAUGUUUUUGUUUGUUUAUUUUUGUUUUGUUUUGUUUUUCGAAACAGGGUCUCACUCUGUCACCCAGGCUGGAAUGCAGUGGCACAUUCAUGGCUCAUUGCAGUCUUAACCUCCUGGACUCAAACAAUCCUCCAAUCUCAGCCUCCUGAGUAGCUGGACUACAGGUGAGUGCCACCAUACCCGGCUAAUUUUUUGUAUUUUUGUAGAGACAGGGUUUUGCCACAUUGCUCAGGCUUGUCUUGAACUCCUAGGCUCAAGCAAUCCAUCCACCUUGGCCUCCCAAAGUGCUGAGAUUACAGGUGUGAGCCACUGUGCCCAGCCCUUCUUGAUGUUUUUAAACAUGCCAAGUGGCAUGGUUUUGUGGCGUGGUCUUUGCAUUUGCUGUUUUCUCUCCCUGAACCCAUUUUCCUCAGUUAACUGUUUCUUGUGGUUUGCUCUCUUUCAUUUGGCUCUUUUAUUCAUGGUCAUGUUAUUGGCGUGCAAAUCUCUAGAAACACCUUUCAUCAUUUUAAUCUCCACACCUGUUUAUUUUUCUUCAUGACACGAAUCGUCACCUGACAUAUUUUAUGCUUAUUUUUUCUGGGCCAUAGGUUGGCAAACUUGUCUUAUAAAGGGCCAGAUGGUAAAUAUUUUAGGCUUUGCAGGCCAUACGGUUGCCGUCACAACUACUAACUCUACCAUUGUGGUGUAAAACCAGCCAUAGACAGUAAGUAAAAUAAAUGAGCAUGGCUGUGUUCCAAUAAAACUUUAUUUACAAAAGUAGGUGGCAAGAUGGAUUUGACCUAUAGGCCAUAAUCUGCCAACCCCUAGUUUAAGCAUUUGCUGUCCACUUCCUAAAAUGCCAGCUCCAGGAGAGUAAGGAUUUUGUCUUUUUUGUUCAAUACUCUCUGGAGCAACUACUAAUGUGCCUGGCACAUGGUAGGCAAUCCAUAAAUAUUUAUUGAAUUAAUUAAUUGAUUAAAGAAUAAGCUCUUGGGAGACCUUGAUUAUAAGGGCUUGGCUAAGGAGUUUGGAUUUUCUUCUUUAUAGAAGUUUGAAAAGAGUCUUCGCUAGUUUUAACAAUGUUCAUGACUGCUGAUUGACAGCUCUUAUCUGCAGUCUGCAAUUCUCAGAAUGAAGACAUUUUGAGACAAAUAACAGCCGCUUGCUCGUCUCACUGUUUACUCCUCUUGUAAGAGCACUGUAUGAUGCACAUCACACAUUGAGUUGGAUGUGUGAUGAUGCAUCAGACUGCUGCCAACAAAAACACAUCGAAAUAAAAUAAUCAUCUCUGCAGAGGCCCGGGAAUGACACUCCAGACAUUCCAUGGAAAUCAAGGAGGCUGCUGCAGUUCUGCAGGAGACAGGAUCGAGGACCCAUCAUAAUGCUGGGUGUGGGGAAGCACACAGGUCAGGGCAGGAUUAAAUGAGUGGCAAGACUGAAAGAGUUGUAAGGAGACAGGUUAGCUUGGGCUGGCUGGAGGGAGUAGGUGGAGACAGAUAAAAGCAUGAGUCAUUUUCUGGGACUUGGUGAGCCAAGGUGUGGGAUUGGCCAAGAGUGGGAUGUGCUCCUGAAUUCUGAAGAACCCAGUUAGAGAAAGUAUUUUCCUUGAGGAGAGGUAGGUUGGAUAUGCAAGUCUGGACUGUGGACAGCCUCGAAAGCCAGUUUGGGGCCAGGUGUGGGUGGUGGCUUACGCCUGUAAUCUCAGCUCUUUGGGAAGGUAAGCCAGGAGGAUCACUUGAGCCCAGGAGUUCGAGAGUAGCCUAGGCAAUGUUCCCCUCUAAUUACAAUGAUUACUUUUUAUCUUAGCACUGGGCUGCCUAGAACUGAAUCACAGCUCUGCCACUCGCUAGCUCUGUGGCCUUUGACAAGUCCCUUAGCCUUCUUGGGCCUCUGUUCCUCAUUAGCAAAAUGGAGGAUAACAAUAAUACUUUUCUCGUAAGGUCACUGUAAGGAUUUAAUAUAUUAAAAUAUGUGAUAUAUUUAAAACACUUCCUGGAAUAUAGUGAGCUCUAUAUAAGCAAUGGCUAUUAUCAUCAUUAUCAAUUUUACUGUUACUACUAUGUUUAUGCUAUGUGUGCCCAUAUCUUAUCUGCUAUAAUAGAUUUGAGCCUUUGAAGGCAAGAACUGUACCUGAUUCAUUUUUCAUUUUCCCCAGUGAGUAGUAAAAUGCAUUCACAUAGUAUGUGCUCAAUAAGUAUUUGUGAAGUUAAUAAAUAAAUGAUCAAAUUAAUGAAUGAAUGUAAUCUUUGGAAUGGGAUUUAACUAUGGUGCUGCAAAUAAAGUAUUAUUUGUAUUCAA